CUGGUUGAUCCUGCCAGUAGUCAUAUGCUUGUCUCAAAGAUUAAGCCAUGCAUGUCUAAGUACAAGCCUCAGUAAGGUGAAACCGCGAAUGGCUCAUUAAAUCACACCUAAUCUACUGGAAAGUUACAAGUUACUUGGAUAACUGAGGUAAUUCUUGAGCUAAUACAUGCGAAAAAUCUCGACUCACGGAGAGAUGCUUUUAUUAGAUCAAAACCAAACGGCUUCGGCCGUAACAUUGGUGACUCUGAAUAACUUUGGGCUGAUCGUAUGGCCUUGUGCCGACGACGGUUCCUUCGAAGGU
rnacentral:rRNA from 1 species